UUUUUGGUCAUUUUGCCUGCAAUGACUGCGUUUUCCCAGUAGAUGGCGAAGCGCUCGCCUGCGCAUUUACUACCGGAAGCCGUGUCAGAAAGCUCGGUGCACACUCACAAGUGCGUGUACGUACUCAGUAGUACGGACUUGGCGCACUCUCGCUCUAUUCGUAUCAGUCCCGAAUUUAGAGCGUGGGCUUUGACAACAGCAUUCUUAUAAUUCGCGCGCUGAGCUUUCAGAUGCAGUUUUGCGCUAAAGCCACCCACAAACCUUCCCCUGGAAUCCUUCCAUUAAAAUGAGUGGCCCGAAGAAAAGAAGUGAGUGCCGAAUGUUAAAAAAAGAGUGACUAAUUUGGCUCGACGUUCGCGACGUCCUCACCUCUGUUACCAGAUGUUUGUGAGUUAAAACACUGCUCUGAUUUUCAGAUACCCCUCACCGUGUUGCCGUUUUGAUUACUUUAUUUGGAUGUAUGCUUUCACCGAUUCUUCAAGAUGAUAUAUUUGGUCAGAAUGUUUGCCGUUUGAUGUGAUCCCAUAAGAUAAACAUCUUUCAUUAAUCUGACCUGCAGGCACUGAAGUGAUGGAGAUUGUUAUUCAUAAUAACAGUGUCGUAUUUUAUGAGAAUCACUGAUAGCAGUUUUUUAGUGAAUUUUUUUUUUUUUUUAAUGCUGUUAAUGAAUGCAUUUGUUUUCAAAAAAUUUGUUUGGAAUAUCCAUGCUUUACUACCUACUAAAGGCCCAGAUCUUUUCUAGAUGAAAUACAUCAGAACUUUUGCCUUUUUGGAUCACUUUUUUAGCAUGUCUGGCCCACUGCAUAGUCGUUGUAUACAAGUUUUGCACACGAGCGGAAUGCCUCUCUUGUUCUUCUGCUUGAGCUGCGGCUGGAGCCGUGGCCGGGACAGUGCGCCUGCGCACUGUGGCCUCAUUGUCUUCCGGCCUGACAAACAUAGUCGCAGCCUCAUCACUUUUCAACUUUCUGUCUUUUGUUACAUUUCAACUUUCUUUGUACUUCAUACUUUUUCUUCCACAUUGGUAUGUAUUGCAUACAAUUAAGAAAUCUACUCGCCAUGAACUUCUCAUCUCCUUCAGGAGAUAGAGAUUUAUCGUUCCCUUUUCCCAUCUUAAUUUUAGUUUUUCUAGUUUUUUUUCCAAUCUUUUUUUUUUCUUUGAGGAUCCUCAAUGCAGGUUUAAAUUGACCUUCCACCAAAUUCUCUUUGCAGUCAAUUUAUCCUACCAGUCGCACACUCAACCACACAAAUUUCUUAUCCCUGCCUACGCGAAGUCCUCUUUUAAAAAUAAAAGAGCUGCUUCAUCCGGAUGGGGGACUCUACAACACCCCUUCCUUCCCUGGGAAUUGAAGACAACUGUCCAGUUACCCAGCCCUGCCAACGCGAAGUUGUCCCCUUAGAACAGUGGUUGUCAAAUGAGGGUACACGGAGGUACGUGAGAUUUUACAAAAAUAUAUAGAACAGUUUGAAAACCACUGCUCCAGAAGAGCCACUUCAUCCGGAGGGGGACUCUACAACACCCCCUCCUUCCACAAGACUUCUUAUCUUAUCCCUGCCUAUUUUUAUUCCUGUGCACUUUUACUUUUACGCGUUUCACAACCACACAAUUUCUAACUUACCUGACCCCUGGUCCGUUGCAUUGCCGGAACCCGUCAAUCCACCUCCGGCAGACGAAGGCAGACCUAAGAUGCUGGCCCAGCGAAGAAAUUCUCUUCCCAGGACUUUCUUUUCCAGGUCCCCCUAAAGGACGCUGGCUUGUCGACAAUGCAGCACGUCCUCCUCCGUCAGCCAGAUGGCGGGUAUGAGGGUCCCGGGUUUCGGCACCAAAAUGUUAGGGUGGUGCUCAUUCUAACUUAUUUUGCAAGAACCACACAGGAGUCAAGCAAGUCAUUUUAGACACCUGCAGGCGGAGAGUUCACUCGUCGCUGUGCUUACAGCGAUGGUCGAAUGAAGUCUGACUCUCCCUUCCCAGAAGAGCAUCUUUAUUACGAGAAAAAGGGUGGGGGUGACAGUGGACUGAAUAGACAAGUUAAAGCCCUUGACCUCUGGAUUAGCAGAGCAGGGGAUGUUUUACGACAUUGUGUAGGAUGGGACAAGCUAGGUUAUUUAUUACUGGUUACACACCAACAUAAGCACACCACAUUCUUUAUGCACUGUAAACAUCUGACAUUGUAUUUUUCAGUUUGCAGAACAACUUCUUUCAAAUGAAGAAAUAGAUUUCUCAGCAAAGGCACGUGAUAUAAAUAGGUACAGGCUGCAAAUUGCCACCACACUUCUAUUAGAGACUGGUAAGUAAUAUGCACCCAAGAGAUGUUAUCGCCACCCAAAGAAUGGUCCUGUCUGUGCUAUCAAUGCUAUAUACAACUCAGUUAAGUUUUACACAGGGAACUACUGUAGCAAUUCUUCUGUCUUUGUUUUCACAGAUGAUUUAUCUGAUUUGUGCUUUGUUUGUGGGGAAGCUACACAUGACACAGACAACAGAUGGUGUGACGAGUGUUGCAGGUGGUUCCAUCUUGUAUGUGUCGGGGAGCCUCCAACCGAAGGCUCUUUUUUGUGUACAACAUGUACAGAAAUUAAAUGCUAAAUAUUUGAAGCUUC